CAGUCGCCACGGGAAUACGAAGGGGGCUAGCGUUGUUCGGAAUUACUGGGCGUAAAGCGCACGUAGGCGGAUCGAUCAGUCAGGGGUGAAAUCCCAGGGCUCAACCCUGGAACUGCCUUUGAUACUGUCGAUCUGGAGUAUGGAAGAGGUGAGUGGAAUUCCGAGUGUAGAGGUGAAAUUCGUAGAUAUUCGGAGGAACACCAGUGGCGAAGGCGGCUCACUGGUCCAUUACUGACGCUGAGGUGCGAAAGCGUGGGGAGCAAACAGGAUUAGAUACCCCAGUAGUCCCUGUCUCUUAUAC
rnacentral:rRNA from 1 species